AUUCCAAAGGUCAACGAGCUAGCGGUUAGUUUUCUGACCUCCACGCACUUGGCUGUCCCCAAAACUGUGUAAAAGAGACUGCUGUGUCUACUCACUGUCUGUGUUUAAGAAACGAAAGUUCAACUGAGAAGUGACUGUACCCAGUGUGAAAGCGACACCAAGAAGCUGACAUUGCCAGUUUGAAACUUUGAUUAUCAACAAGGUCAUCAAAACAAUUCAUUAUAGCCAUGGGGUCCAUCAUGGGAAAAGCCAUGGACGACAACCUGGCCAAGAUGCAGGCAUUCCAGCUCAACACUAUGCAGAUGCAGUUGGAACGUCAGCUCCAGAUGCAGAACCAGAUGCGAGAGCGGAUGAUGGCCAUGCAGAUCAGCCGGGCCAGGGAGACGCUAAACUACUUCGGCGCUUUCUACGCUCUCGUCGCAGUUGGUGGUCUGGGAGCAACCUUGAAGAGGAAGACACCAGGUCCCAUCCUCCCACUGGUACCACUAACGUUCAUCCUGGCCUAUCAGUAUGAUAUGGCGUAUGGAACCAUGAUCCAGCGCAUGAGGGAGGGCUCCGAGCACAUAAUCUCAGAUGAGUAUAACUUACUGAACCUGCCUGCAGGCCUGCCCACGUUUGAGACCAUCGAAGCAGCCAGGCUGAAGCAGAAGGGAGAGUAGAAUGGGCAGCUGCCUUACCGCUUACACUGACAGCCCUGUCACAUUUGUCUUAGGCCGCUGUAUGAUUUCUAUGCCAUAGAAUAGGGACAACCUUUGAUCUUCUUUCUGAAGACUUCUCUUGCAUUUUUGGAGCAGAAAAAGUAGUCUAUCUUCCCUAUUUGACAUGACAGUAUAUCAGGGAUAAGUUGUGGAACAACAAAGGGUCACAUGUAAAUGAUGCAGUAUAUCUUCCAGUCUCCAAGCAGAUGUUAUAUGGUAUAUCUUUGUCAUUUUCUCUGUAAUGAAGAAACUAAGGCAUAAAUAAUAAUAACCUCAUAACAUCUGCUUGGAGAUGACUAAUUUCUAAUCUCUUCUAGUCAAGUCCAAUGCAGUGUAUGUUUAAUGACAUGUAUUCUUAGGCAUGUUUUCACUACAUGUAUUACAACAUCCAUUAUUUUGCUUUGAACAUUGAAAGAUUUCUUUUUCUGAAAUGGAAGACAUACAUGAUGUAUGCUUAGUUAGGACAAAUGUGUUGGAUCAAAUCAGGAACACAUAGGUGUAAAGAUUAGAUAGAAAUUUUAUAUAGUUGCUGUUGAAAACAGUGAAAGAUGAAAUACAAUGUAUAAUCAAAAUUUUCCACCAAAUACAUUUGAAUAAAGCCUUCUUUGGCAAUUGCCACACUUA